AGCUCCGGCAAACAGCGGCUGAGUCAGCGGGCGGAGGGCGGCCGCGAUGCCGCCCCGGCAUGUCGGGGUGCGCGGCUGCUUCCCGGAGCCCUGGCACAGCUCUGCCGCAUGGAGGGGAGCCUCAGAGUCCCCGACCCCAAAGAUGCUGCCAGGGCCGAGCCGUGCCGUCCUCAGCCCUGCUGAGGCUGGAGCGAGCUCAAAGCAAGGCCUGGUGCUGCUGGGGUCUGUGCGAGUCCCCGCGAUGCUCAGGGACCCUGUAACCCGGGCUGGGCAGGUCCCGGCGCUCCUGAGCCUCCUGCUGCUCCGCAGGGUGCGAGUGCUGCGAGCCCAGCAUCCCUGAUGCUGAAUUUGGGCAGCGCUUGAACCCCGACCCCAGCGCAGGGAAAGAGCGGAACAUUCCACUUCAACCAAAAUCUAGAUUUAUCAUCCCCGUGCGAACAGAUCAGCCCCCGGUGGGUGCCCCUCGGCAGGUUCUGGGGUGAGCUGCACCCCGCAGGGCUCAGCCCAGCUGCGAUGGGGGAAGGCGGUGCUUGUUUGGGGAGCUGGACGGGAGCCCGGGCCGGAGGCAGCAGCGGCGCAGCUAAUCCCGGCCCUCGCAGGGCUGCGCCAGCCCCGGCACAUUCUGUCCCUGCCAGCGCCGGGACGGCCACAGGCUCCGCGUGUCACCGUCCCCGCGGCACGGCCGCGCUGGCCCCGCCACCGACCCCCCGGGCCACCGGGCAGCGGCCUCAGCCGCAGGCUGGGCCACCGAGAUGGCACCGAGCAUCCCCCGGGCACAGGCAGGGCUGCGGGGAGGGGGAGCCCCCCAAAAUGCUGAAGAAAGGGGCCGCAGGAGCGGGGUGUCCCAGAGCCCCGCAGAGCUCCCCUCCAGGGUUCAGGAUUCAGGAGUGCAGCCCUUUCCUGGCAGGAGCCCCGGCUUGGCCAUGGCCCCCCAACCUCGCUGCGCUACUGCCCGACUGUACGAGAGAAAGCUGGAGGCGCUGACAAGAAUCCCGGCCGGACAGAUCGCUGCCACACGGGCACCGGGAGCGCUGCCCACCGGCGUUGGGUUCCCCGGCUGGCGUGGUGGCCUGUCCCCGUCACCGUGUGACGCAGUUUCACAGAAAGACACAGCAGGACAGAGCCGGGGGGCUGGGCGCUCCCCUCCCCCUCGGGCCCGGGGAAUAAACAGCCCCUUGUGCAGCCGGGGCAGAUGAUCCGGGGCUGACCAGCAGCCCCCGGCCAGCCCCGCUGAUGGCACAGAAUGGCUCCCUUGUGGCAGGCUGGGAUCAGCCUGGUCACAGGGCUGCCUUCGGGGCCAUCUUCACCUGGGGGGUGCAGCGCUGUGCUUCGUGUCCCCUUUGAUGUCACCAAAAAAGCCACAAGAGGCUGCAGCACAUGGGGCAGCGCUGCUGCUGCUGCCAGCGGCAGAUCCAGACACGAUCCCCCCAAACGGGGAUGCAAACAAAUUCCCUGCGAGGCCGGUUAAUCCUCCCCCGGGAAAAAUUAAUCAGAGCACCAGGGAUGCCAAAUAAAAAGCAGAUUUGAAUAAAGGUUGCAGGAGCACCAGGUUCUCACAGGCAAA